rnacentral:rRNA from 1 species
AUUGAACGCUGGCGGCAGGCUUAACACAUGCAAGUCGAGCGGAGAUGAGGUGCUUGCACCUUAUCUUAGCGGCGGACGGGGGAGUAAUGCUUAGGAAUCUGCCUAUUAGUGGGGGACAACAUUCCGAAAGGAAUGCUAAUACCGCAUACGCCCUACGGGGGAAAGCAGGGGAUCUUCGGACCUUGCGCUAAUAGAUGAGCCUAAUGCGGAUUAGCUAGUUGGUGGGGUAAAGGCCUACCAAGGCGACGAUCUGUAGCGGGUCUGAGAGGAUGAUCCGCCACACUGGGACUGAGACACGGCCCAGACUCCUACGGGAGGCAGCAGUGGGGAAUAUUGGACAAUGGGCGGAAGCCUGAUCCAGCCAUGCCGCGUGUGUGAAGAAGGCCUUUUGGUUGUAAAGCACUUUAAGCGAGGAGGAGGCUACCUGGAUUAAUACUCUAGGAUAGUGGACGUUACUCGCAGAAUAAGCACCGGCUAACUCUGUGCCAGCCGCCGCCGUAAGAC